rnacentral:snRNA from 1 species
GGAUGUGAGGGUGAUCUGGCUGCGACAUCUGUCACCCCAUUGAUCGCCAGGGUUGAUUUGGCUGAUCUGGCUGGCUAGGCGGGUGUCGCCUUCCUCCCUCACCGCUCCAUGUGCGUCCCUCCCGAAGCUGCGCGCUCGGUCGAAGAGGACGACCAUCCCCGAUAGAGGAGGACCGUUCUUCGGUCAAGGGUAUACGAGUAGCUGCGCUCCCCUGCUAGAACCUCCAAACAAGCUCUCAAAGCUCAACAUGUGCCUACUCAGCACAAAAGCCACAGGAGACCACCAGUCUGGGAAGGGCAGAAAGGCCCCACCACACGUGUCCUUGAGCAGGUGUGCAUCUUCCCACAACCAGGCGAUGUGU